UAACAUUGUAGCAAAUACCCCAUGAAUCAGUUUGAGGAACCCCAUUAGUGCUCAUUUCUUCAAGUUCUGGCACACCAUCCCAUUGCUCAUCACUGGUGAGCCUGGUUUUGCCCCUUUCCCCCUUCCAAGCUAGUUUAAAGCUCUAUCAACAAGUCCUGCUUUCU